AUUGAACGCUGGCGGCAUGCCUUACACAUGCAAGUCGAGCGGCAGCGCGGGGGGCAACCCUGGCGGCGAGCGGCGAACGGGUGAGUAAUGCAUCGGAACGUGUCCUCUUGUGGGGGAUAACCAGUCGAAAGACUGGCUAAUACCGCAUGAGAUCGAGAGAUGAAAGCGGGGGACCGCAGGGCCUCGCGCGAGAGGAGCGGCCGAUGUCGGAUUAGCUAGUUGGCGGGGUAAUGGCCCACCAAGGCGACGAUCCGUAGCUGGUCUGAGAGGACGACCAGCCACACUGGGACUGAGACACGGCCCAGACUCCUACGGGAGGCAGCAGUGGGGAAUAUUGGACAAUGGGCGCAAGCCUGAUCCAGCGAUGCCG
rnacentral:rRNA from 1 species